UUUUCCUUACUUGCCAGCAUUUCGGAUGGGAACUUUAAGGAUACUGCCAGUGACAAACUGGAGGAAGGCGGGGACGACGUCAAGUCAUCAUGGCCCUUACGGCCAGGGCUACACACGUGCUACAAUGGUCGGUACAAAGGGUUGCUACACAGCGAUGUGAUGCUAAUCUCAAAAAGCCGAUCGUAGUCCGGAUUGGAGUCUGCAACUCGACUCCAUGAAGUCGGAAUCGCUAGUAAUCGCGGAUCAGAAUGCCGCGGUGAAUACGUUCCCGGGCCUUGUACACACCGCCCGUCACACCAUGGGAGUUUGUUGCACCAGAAGUAGCUAG
rnacentral:rRNA from 1 species